rnacentral:rRNA from 1 species
AACGAACGCUGGCGGCAGGCCUAACACAUGCAAGUCGAGCGCGCCUUCGGGUGAGCGGCGGACGGGUGAGUAACGCGUGGGAAUAUGCCCUUCUCUACGGAAUAGUCCUGGGAAACUGGGGGUAAUACCGUAUACGCCCUUUGGGGGAAAGGUUUAUCGGGGAAGGAUUAGCCCGCGUUGGAUUAGGUUGUUGGUGGGGUAAUGGCCUACCAAGCCGACGAUCCAUAGCUGGUUUGAGAGGAUGAUCAGCCACACUGGGACUGAGACACGGCCCAGACUCCUACGGGAGGCAGCAGUGGGGAAUCUUAGACAAUGGGGGCAACCCUGAUCUAGCCAUGCCGCGUGAGUGAUGAAGGCCUUAGGGUUGUAAAGCUCUUUCAGCUGGGAAGAUAAUGACGGUACCAGCAGAAGAAGCCCCGGCUAACUCCGUG